rnacentral:rRNA from 1 species
AUUGAACGCUGGCGGCGUGCUUAACACAUGCAAGUCGAGCGGUAACAGGCGUAGCAACACGUGCUGACGAGCGGCGAACGGGUGCGUAAUACAUCGGAAUCUGCCUAGUAGUGGGGAAUAACCCGGCGAAAGCCGGGCUAAUGCCGCAUACGAUCCACGGAUGAAAGCGGGGGACUUUCGGGCCUCGCGCUAUUAGAUGAGCCGAUGUCGGAUUAGCAGUUGGUGAGUAACGGCUCACCAAGGCGACGAUCCGUAGCUGGUCUGAGAGGACGGCCAGCCACACUGGGACUGAGAC